CGGUUGUGCGGGGAGGCUAACACAUGCAAGUCGAGCGGAUGAAGGGAGCUUGCUCCCUGAUUUAGCGGCGGACGGGUGAGUAAUGCCUAGGAAUCUGCCUGGUAGUGGGGGACAACGUUCCGAAAGGAACGCUAAUACCGCAUACGUCCUACGGGAGAAAGCAGGGGACCUUCGGGCCUUGCGCUAUCAGAUGAGCCUAGGUCGGAUUAGCUAGUUGGUGAGGUAAUGGCUCACCAAGGCGACGAUCCGUAACUGGUCCGAGAGGAUGAUCAGUCACACUGGAACUGAGACACGGUCCAGACUCCUACGGGAGGCAGCAGUGGGGAAUAUUGGACAAUGGGCGAAAGCCUGACCCAGCCAUGCCGCGUGUGUGAAGAAGGUCUUCGGAUUGUAAAGCACUUUAAGUUGGGAGGAAGGGCAGUAAGCUAAUACCUUGCUGUUUUGACGUUACCGACAGAAUAAGCACCGGCUAACUUCGUGCCAGCAGCCGCGGUAAUACGAAGGGUGCAAGCGUUGAUCGGAAUUACUGGGCGUAAAGCGCGCGUAUGUGGUUCGUUAAGUUGGAUGUGAAAGCCCCGGGCUCAACCUGGGAACUGCAUCCAAAACUGGCGAGCUAGAGUACGGUAGAGGGUGGUGGAAUUUCCUGUGUAGCGGUGAAAUGCGUAGAUAUAGGAAGGAACACCAGUGGCGAAGGCGACCACCUGGACUGAUACUGACACUGAGGUGCGAAAGCGUGGGGAGCAAACAGGAUUAGAUACCCUGGUAGUCCACGCCGUAAACGAUGUCAACUAGCCGUUGGGUUCCUUGAGAACUUAGUGGCGCAGCUAACGCAUUAAGUUGACCGCCUGGGGAGUACGGCGGCAAGGUUAAAACUCAAAUGAAUUGACGGGGCCCGCACAGCGGUGGAGCAUGUGGUUUAUUCGAAGCACGCGAGACCUUACCUGGCCUUGACAUGCUGAGACUUUCAGAGAUGAUUGUGCCUUCGGGAACUCAGACACAAGGUGCUGCAUGGCUGUCGU
rnacentral:rRNA from 1 species